GGGCGGAUGGCGGAAUGGUAGACGCGCUAGUCUUAGGAACUAGUGGGGAAACUCAUGGAGGUUCAAGUCCUCUUCCGCCCA
rnacentral:tRNA from 1 species